rnacentral:rRNA from 1 species
AUUGAACGCUGGCGGCAGGCCUAACACAUGCAAGUCGAACGGUAACAGGAAGCAGCUUGCUGCUUCGCUGACGAGUGGCGGACGGGUGAGUAAUGUCUGGGAAGCUGCCUGAUGGAGGGGGAUAACUACUGGAAACGGUAGCUAAUACCGCAUAAUGUCGCAAGACCAAAGAGGGGGACCUUCGGGCCUCUUGCCAUCGGAUGUGCCCAGAUGGGAUUAGCUUGUUGGUGGGGUAACGGCUCACCAAGGCGACGAUCCCUAGCUGGUAUGAGAGGAUGACCAGCCACACUGGGACUGAGACACGGUCCAGACUCCUACGGGAGGCAGCAGUGGGGAAUAUUGCACAAUGGGCGCAAGCCUGAUGCAGCCAUGCCGCGUGUAUGAAGAAGGCCUUCGGGUUGUAAAGUACUUUCAGCGGGGAGGAAGGGAGUAAAGUUAAUACCUUUGCUCAUUGACGUUACCCGCAGAAGAAGCACCGGCUAACUCCGUG